rnacentral:tRNA from 1 species
AGCUCUGCAGUGUGUUAGAACACGCCGAAUUGCAAAUUCGGAGAAGCAGCAUAACCCCUGCCAGGGCUU